GGGGCAGGCACCCACCCUGGACAGGGACCUUCUUCAGGAUCCUGGGCUGUGCCAGCAGCCUGGGCUUCAAAGCGCUACCGUUUGUUUGAUUCUCGGCACACUACAAAGUGCUGUGACCCUCGCUUGCGGAAGUGCCACGCCCACCAGGGAGAGGGCUGCAAAGCCAACAGCCUUUGUCCAGGGAGUUUGCCGGUGCAGGGUGUGGCAGCCGCUUGCUCAGGGCGGAUAGGUAGCCACAGGUCCUGGCCCAUGGGUGCAGGCCUCUCCCGGGAAGGGUGUGCGGGGCAGAAGAUGCCCAGCCAUGGCAUCAGCCAGUCCGCUCAGCUGUGCACAUGGCUGCUCGAGGCCAAAGCGCCUGUGCACGUGAGCCUUUGUACAUGAGUGAGCACACGCAUUUGCACUGAGCUUGUAUGACUGUGCAAGGCGUCCAUGUGUCUGCUCCCAGGAGUGUGUGCAGUGUCUGCACAACUCGUCCUCCCCCAGGGCACAAGGCCAGGGGCACAGGACACCCCACACCCCUCAGACCCUAGAGUCCCAGGCCCUGGGCGAUGCCUGUGUGGUGCCCCAGCAAGGGGGGUGUCCUGGGUGCUCCCUGUGUUCUGCUGCCCCUGGGAGGAGGCUCCAAGGUGGCUGCAAGGCUCACUGCAGGCAGACCUUGCCACGCCAGGGCCCCAGAGGUGGGCGUUGGGCCCAGGUCCCCAGCCAGCUGGUGGGAGGCAGAGGAUGGGAAUGCCCACAGGGAAACUGAACCCCAGCUCCACCGACUGUGCCAGGGCACAGAGGGGUCGGAAACGGCUCUGAGGCUGGACUCAGGAGGGUGGAGGCCAAGGGUCCCGGGGCAGGAGCGGGUGACGAGUUUUGAGGGCAGUGUGAGCCCUGGGCUGCUCUGGAGCUGGCGAUCUCUACCUCCUCCUGCCCUGCCUGCCUGGGUCAGAUGUAUGCCCUGUGCCCUCCACACACUGACUGAGUCCUGGGCCACUGAAGCUGGGCCAGGCCGGGCUGGCUUGAGACUGGUGAGGGCGAUGGCUUUGCCAGAAUCCCAGCCAUCUGGGUGGAGCCCAGCUGCCCCCAGGCGUGGGACCUCCUCCUGUCCCCAGAGGGGCCUCUCAAGGUGACCCCAGCCCCGGGGGGGGUCGUGUGAACAGGGCUGUCCUGGCUGUGCCUUUGUGCAUCCCCACAAUGGCAGAACUUGAUGCCGCCUCUCGCAUUACCGGACUCAGAAGCUCACCGAGCCCCUCUGCACUGCCCUGAUGCAGCUGGCUGGGAGGACUUGGCUUUGCAGAGAAGCAGGCCUGGGCAGCAUGCUGGUCCCCAGUGCCCACUGCUUUCUUGUCAUCAGAGCCUGUCCUCUCAGGGCCUUGCUGGACAGCCCUGCCUCUGCCACCAGAGUCCAGUUUGAGCUGUAGAAUGGAGAAAGCAGAUGUACUGGAUGACAGCCUGCUGGAGGAUGCUGUCCCUGCAGGAGGGAAGCAACGGCCCGGGGCACACACCUUGCUGGAGCACCCAGGGUCUACCUGCAGGCCCACAGCAGCCCCAGCUCAGAGUCAGAGGAAGCCACUGGGCAGAAGAGCCCAGCGAAUGGCCAGAAAACACCAUGGGCUCUUGGGGCAGGGCCAGCUGCUCCUCCCCACCUUCUACCACCUCCCAAGAAGCCCCAGCUUCCACCUGCAGCACCUGAGGGCUCCCGUUGGCCCUGUGCGACUGCCGAGCCUGGACAGACGACUUGGGCUGCUCCCCUCUUCUCCCCCGGUCACCUGGACUCUCGUAGUGACCCAGCCCCUCCAUGAGCUGAGCUGACUCACUGCCUGCCCAACCCAGUGUCUGCAGCUGCACACUUCCGGUCCCUCGAGGAGAGUGUGCCUCUGGCUGGAGAUGCAACAGCCCCAAGGGUCCCAAGAGCCAGGCCUCACCAGCGGGGCAGGGACGCCGCAGCCCAGCCUGGCACCGUACCGCUGAGUGGGGCCGGGCCUCUGUGAUCAGCUGGAUGCCCUGAGUGUGCUCAAGUCUGCGGAGAGACCCAGGGCCCACAGUGCUUCCAAGGCCGUUUUCCUAAGAAUGGUGAUGGUGACUGGAGCACACUGUGCUUGGGAAAAGGAGGAACUGUGGCCAGCCCUGUCUCGCGCCCAGGUUCUCAGGGUGUCUGCAGCUGACCCUGGACUCACUGGGGCUCUCUGGGGUUUGCCCGCAUCAUGCCCCCCUGAGCAUGCUGGACCUGCUGCCCCAUCCCAGGCUCGGUGCCGCACCCAGGACGCAGAACUCAGCCACGGCCUCCAGUCCCCAUGAGCCUGUGGCUGGAGCAGUGGCUGCAUUGCAUGAACCUGAUCCCUCCCCAGGUGCUGAGCAGGCUCUGGGCUCCACCUGUGUUCAGGGGGCCUGGUCCUCCUCGAAGCCAUGCCUGUGGGGCCCCCAACAAUCCUGGCCUUGGGGUCACAUGGGCUCUGUUCACCUCCUGGGUGGACACUGUGGGGCAGGGCCCAGCAUCAAGCCCAGGACCCAGAGCGCACCCUCUGCAGCAGCCGUGGGCUGCCUCUUGAUGGCACCGGGGAGCAGAGCAGACCAUGAGAACCCCAUCCCUUCCACCUCCCCAAGUUGCUGCUUCCAGUGAAAUACAU
rnacentral:lncRNA from 1 species